rnacentral:rRNA from 1 species
UACGUAGGGUCCGAGCGUUGUCCGGAAUCAUUGGGCGUAAAGAGCUCGUAGGCGGUUCGGCAAGUCGGAUGUGAAAUCUCCACGCUCAACGUGGAGGGGCCAUUCGAAACUGCCGUGACUCGAGUCCGGUAGGGGAGUGCGGAAUUCCCGGUGUAGCGGUGAAAUGCGCAGAUAUCGGGAGGAACACCAGUGGCGAAGGCGGCACUCUGGGCCGGAACUGACGCUGAGGAGCGAAAGCGUGGGGAGCGAACAGG